CUGCUGCCCUCCGCUAUUAGAAUAUAAGCACCGGCUAACUACGUGCCAUGCAGCCGCGGUCAUACGUAGGGUGCAAGCGUCAAUCGGAAUUACUGGGCGUAAAGCGUGCGCAAGCGGUUUUAUAAGUCUGAUGUGAAAUCCCCGGGCUCAACCUGGGAACUGCAUUGGAGACUGUAAGGCUAGAGUGUGUCAGAGGGGGGUAGAAUUCCACGUGUAGCAAUGAAAUGCGUAGAUAUGUGGAGGAAUACCGAUGGCGAAGGCAGGCCCCUGGGAUAACACUGACGCUCAUGCACGAAAGCGUGGUGAGCAAACAGGAUUAGAUACCCUGGUACUCCACGCCCUAAACGAUGUCAACUAGUUGUCGGGUCUUAAUUGACUUGGUAACGCAGCUAACGCGUGAAGUUGACCGACUGGGGAGGUACGGUCGCAAGAUUAAAACUCAAAGGAAUUGACGGGGACCCGUACAAGCGGUGGCAUGAUGUGGAUUAAUCCGAUGCAACGCGAAAAACU
rnacentral:rRNA from 1 species